AGCCCCGUCGUCUAGCGGUCAAGGACGCAGAAUUUAGCAGCCUGAGACGGCGGUUCGAAUCCGCCCGGGGCUA
rnacentral:tRNA from 1 species